GAUGAACGCUGGCGGCGUGCCUAAUACAUGCAAGUCGAGCGAACGGACGAGAAGCUUGCUUCUCUGAUGUUAGCGGCGGACGGGUGAGUAACACGUGGAUAACCUACCUAUAAGACUGGGAUAACUUCGGGAAACCGGAGCUGAUACCGGAUAAUAUUUUGAACCGCAUGGUUCAAAAGUGAAAGACGGUCUUGCUGUCACUUAUAGAUGGAUCCGCGCUGCAUUAGCUAGUUGGUAAGGUAACGGCUUACCAAGGCAACGAUGCAUAGCCGACCUGAGAGGGUGAUCGGCCACACUGGAACUGAGACACGGUCCAGACUCCUACGGGAGGCAGCAGUAGGGAAUCUUCCGCAAUGGGCGAAAGCCUGACGGAGCAACGCCGCGUGAGUGAUGAAGGUCUUCGGAUCGUAAAACUCUGUUAUUAGGGAAGAACAUAUGUGUAAGUAACUGUGCACAUCUUGACGGUACCUAAUCAGAAGGCCACGGCUAACUACGUG
rnacentral:rRNA from 1 species